UUGUCUUGCUUGAGUUGCUGCUGUCGUCUUUUGAAAGCCUUCAGAGCAUUUACCAUUGACCUGUGCCGGAAAGGAAAUAAGAAGAUUUUGCUUGACCAUGGCUGACAAGGCAGUGACUAUUAGGACCAGGAAGUUCAUGACCAACAGGCUUCUGUCCAGGAAGCAAUUUAUCAUUGACGUUCUACAUCCUGGAAGACCCAAUGUUUCCAAGGCGGAGUUGAAGGAAAAGCUCUCUAGAAUGUAUGAGGUGAAGGACCCCAAUUCAAUCUUUGUGUUCAAGUUUAGGACUCAUUUUGGAGGUGGAAAAUCUACUGGAUUUGGUUUGAUUUAUGAUUCUGUUGAGAACGCCAAGAAGUACGAGCCCAAGUACAGGCUGAUCAGGAAUGGACUCGAUACCAAGGUAGAGAAAUCGAGGAAACAAAUGAAGGAAAGGAAGAACAGGGCUAAGAAGAUCCGAGGAGUAAAGAAGACCAAGGCCAGUGAAGCAGCAAAGAAGAAAUGAGAGCUAAAAGGCAAAACUCGUGCUUAUCACAGAGCCAAUGCUUUUCAACAUUGUUUUUUAGGAUUUUGAAAUAUCCCAUGUUUUGCCAUUGAUAUUGUCAGGCAGUACUUGCUCUAUCAUCUUCCCAAAUCUUGAAUCCAAAAAAAAAAAAAAAAAAAGGUAGUUGAUGCAAGAAAAUCUUAAAUGCACUUUAUGAAUAGAUAUGCAACACUUUUUUGGA